GUCUGUUGGUGCACUAGCAGGAGUUUUCUCCAGCCAGCUAACGUCAACUGUCACCGCCGACACCGCGUGCGUGCGUGUGGAGCAGUGAAGCCAAGCCAGCCGACUCCAGAGUCCAGACUCGACAGAAAACGCAGUUAGAGGAAACUUCCCCCCAAGCAGACGUUGAGGACCAGAUUUCUCUGCCAAGCACUCUAAGACUCAUCAUGCUCGGAGAGUCCAUUCUGGGGGCAAAUAGGUGGAUGCUUUCCAUCGAGGGCAGAGUUCUCCAACCAAAUCCAACUGAGUGACCGUUUCGAAUUCAGUACUGCUCUGGCUGUCCUUUUUGCAUCAUACUAUAUAUUUAACAUGGAAUAUCCUGCGGAGGCAGCCACCACAUUAGAAUGUAUCCAGAGGGUAGAAGACUCCAGCCCAGGAAAUUGUCUAAUUCAGGCCCGUUUCUGAAGAAAAAUACAGUUCUGGGAGAAAAACAACAUUCAGGGACCAAAUUCUACUGUUUGAAAUCCUGCUGUUUUUAAAUAAUUAAAUUUGCCUUUUAUACAUUCUAAUUUUAACCGAACAUAUUAAUCCAUUUGAACAGGAUUGAUUUGUAUGUUCAGAAAAGUGUUGUUGUAUACAAAACUAAAUGAAAUGUUAACAGACAAAUGUUUACCUAUUGAAGAUUUUUUUUUUUUUGCUAUGCUAUUUUUAUUUUAUGAAUUUAGAAAUUAAAAGUGUGAAAAGUUAUCAAUAAAUGGCAUUUUUGUGGCAAAAUCAGUGUCUUCAUUUUACAGUACACAAAAUUAAUGCUGUAAUCCUUAUUACAGUAGUAAAAU